UUUCAACUUGAGAGUUUGAUCCUGGCUCAGAACGAACGCUGGCGGCAGGCCUAACACAUGCAAGUCGAACGCUCGUAGCAAUACGAGAGUGGCAGACGGGUGAGUAACGCGUGGGAACCUACCCUACGGUCGGGAAUAGCCCAGGGAAACUUGGGGUAAUACCGGAUACGCCCUUCGGGGGAAAGAUUUAUCGCCGUUGGAUGGGCCCGCGUCGGAUUAGCUAGUUGGUGGGGUAAUGGCCUACCAAGGCGACGAUCCGUAGCUGGUCUGAGAGGAUGAUCAGCCACACUGGGACUGAGACACGGCCCAGACUCCUACGGGAGGCA
rnacentral:rRNA from 1 species